UACGCAUUGCAUUAUACAAUUUAAUCAGAAUUAUUGAACAUGUUCAACAAACUUAAUUGCAUUUGCAGCAACGAAAAUUAAUUCAUUCAAACCAAAAACUGUCUCUAGGAGGAUUCAGGGAUGAUCGAUUGAGACAAAUGGUUUUAUUCCUUAUAUUUCAAAUGAAGCAUGAAACGAUGAAAGUUGCUUGUUGUGAUAUGUUCGAAAUCGAUUUUGAAAUGAUAAUUAGGAUCAUCGCUUUCAUCACGAAGUAUUUGGUGCUGCUCAUUCAAUUCCACUUACAAGGAAAUAGUACGGCCUUAUUGGAUGAUCUGUAAAACCAAUCAGAAAUCUUCUUGUUCUCAUUGCCGAUUUUCACCUUUAAUUUCACACGUUGGUUUAAAUGAAGACAUACUGCAACUGCAACCUCCAACAGACCCAAACAAUUCACUCAAGAAGGACGAAGCGAAAGUGCAACUUCGCCAUCCGCUAGAUGACGUGAAAAGAUGUUACUUUCCACUUGAACUCAUCCUGCCUAGGCAUCAGCGUAACAACCAUCAUCAUCAUCAACCGCUGGCUUUCCAGAGCAGUGAAGCUGAAUGCUCCUCAGGUCGUUAGUCCGACGACGCCGCAUAAAGUAGUUAAUGAAGCAAGCUUUUAUUCAUAAAACGGUGCUCUAAUAAAAACAGUUCUACUUAGAUAA